CACGGCGACGAUAGCAUGUAUUCUUACUAAACGUGUGUUUCCAUCAGUACAAUGUACGAAUCCAUGCCAAGGUGCUACCUUGGCAACAAAUGCGAGUGAAGGCAUGGCUGAACAAAGAGUGCAGCAUACACAUACGAAGCCAAAGGUCAUUUCCGAUGGUGACGAUGAUGAGGGUGUCAUAUUCGAAGAGGAUGAUGAUGAUAACGAUGGAUACCUAUUCGCUGGGCAAUAUGAUGAGACCGACGAGGACAUCAAGAUCGAUGGUACUCAAGAUGAAUCUAUUGACACUGAUUUGCCUGACACGUACAACAAGGUGUACAGUAACGUGCCUGAAGAAACACAUAUGCUGAAGUCUGUUCCCAACUGCGGUUAUUGCAAUGCGAAGAAGUUUGAGUAUGAGCCACCUAGAUUUUGCUGUCGUGGUGGGAAGGUUGAGCUAGCCCCACUGGAGACCCCUCCACAACUUCGGAGGUUGUGGGAUAGUGCAGACUCUGAUGCUAGGCACUUUCGUGAUAACAUCAGGUUUUUUAAUGGCCAUUUCUCUUUCACUUCGUUGUACUGUUGCCUUGAUAGUAUGACAACUAAUGUGAAGGAUUCUGGUAUAUACACGUUUCGGGCACAAGGCAUGAUGUAUCACAAUAUCAAGUCAUUCGGUAGGGAAGGUGGGGCGGAGCAUAAACACCUUGAACUUUACUUUUACGAUGAUGAUCCCAAUCUCGAGCAUCGGUACCGUAUGUGCCGCAAAGAACAUCAACAGAAAGACAAAGAUGUUAUUAAACAGAUAGUUUCCAUACUCCGUGAAAAUCCAUACUCUGAACAUCUUAGAAGCAUGGGUCAUGUUGAGAACCUUGAUGACUAUCGUAUCACAUUGAACCUUGAUCAAUCGUUGAACCAGAAGACAUAUAACACACCUAUCACUUCAGAGGUCGCUGCUGUCUGGAUCGAGGGGAGCGAACGGCGAGGCCAGUUCAGCAAGAGUGUUAUGCUACAUGGGAAGGAUAGGUCAAGCCAUGGUAUCCGCUCAUACCAUGGAUGCUACGAUGCACUAUCAUAUCCACUGUUCUUUCCUAGAGGUGAACUUGGAUGGCAUGCAAAUAUACCAAAGGUUGGUGUAUCCAUGGGUGAAGUGGAUGCAUACCGUGAGACGCAUAGGGCAAGUAAUGCAAACGAUGAAGAUGCAGGUUAGUUAUUUCUUUGUAAUUUCUUACGUAACACAUUGUUAAAGUAUCCUUUCGACAUCACUAAAUAAUCAAUCCUUGCGUAUGCAGAAUCUCCUAAUCAUCUAUGUGUGUCCGUACGUGACUAUUACUGCUACAAAUUCCAAAUUCGUCCAGGGGUAUUCAAUCCAAUACUUCAUGGUAAACGUCUUUUCCAGCAGUUCGCAGUUGACACAUACAUCAAGAUUGAGAGCUCCCGUUUAGAUUUCAUUCGUAAGAACCAGGAUCGGUUACGGGCAGACCUAUACCAGGGUUUGGUGGAUACUAUGUUAGAUGGCGAUAUAAGAGCAGAAAAGGUUGGGAAGCGAACUGUGCUGUCGUCAUCGUUUAUUGGCGGUCCUCGUGACAUGAGACGUCGGUAUAUGGAUGCUAUGGCUCUGGUGCGGAAGUUUGGGAAACCAGACAUCUUUCUUACCAUGACAUGUAACCCUAACUGGGAUGAGAUAAGGAGGGAGCUUCUCCCUGGGCAGACACCACAAGAUCGUUCGGAUCUUGUAGUGCGUGUCUUUCAUGCGAAGCUACAGGAGUUAAAGUAUAGGCUGACUAAACAAGAUAUUCUCGGUAAGGUUCGUGCUUACGUCUAUGUCGUCGAGUUUCAAAAGAGGGGUUUGCCCCAUGCCCAUUUUUUACUAAUCAUGCAGAGGAAGUACAAGCUCACAUGCCCUGAGCAGUAUGACCUUUUGAUCUCAGCCGAGAUCCCAGACAAAAAGUACCAUGAACUACGAAAGAUGGUUAUCAAGCAUAUGAUGCAUGGUCCAUGUGGGUUGCUAAACCCUAACUGUCCAUGCACUAAGGGUCGUGCAUCGUGCAAGAAUCAUUACCCUCGGCCUUUCAGUGACGCAACUUUGCAAGGGAAGGAUUCAUAUCCUGUUUACAGACGUCGUGACGAUGGGCGUAAGGAAAAGGUUCGAGGGUGCGAGUUGGACAAUAGAUGGGUUGUCCCUUACAAUCCUUACCUCCUUCGCCUCUUCAACUGUCACAUCAAUGUUGAGGCGUGCGGGAGCAUCAAGGCUGUUAAAUAUUUGUUCAAGUACAUAUACAAAGGCCAUGAUCGUGCGUCUGUUGUUAUGAGAGAUGCGAGCAAGACAGAUGAUGAUGUAGAUGAGAUCAAGCAGUACAGAGAUGCAAGGUGGGUGACCCCGCCAGAAGCUUUAUGGAGGAUAUACGGCUUUGAGCUUAGUCAGAACUCUCCACCUGUGAUGCAACUGCAACUCCAUCUUCCAAACAUGCACAUGGUGGCAUUUCAUGAUCGGCAAAUGGUCCAGCGAGUUGUAAACCGUCCAGGUGCUGAUAGGUCAAUGCUCACAGCAUAUUUUGAGGCAAAUAGGCUACACGAAGAGGCUCCGAGCAUCCUAUAUUGUGACUUCCCUGAGUGGUUCACUUGGCAGAGUGGUAAGGGCAAAGUAUGGCAACGGAGGAAACGAGAUACGGGUGGACAAGUCGGUAGAAUAGUCUCUGCUCAUCCAGCUGAGGGGGAGCGCUACUAUCUCCGUGUUCUCCUAAACCACGUGGCUGGCGCCAUCUCCUAUGUGGAUCUAAGGACAGUAGAUGGUGUCACACUACCGACUUUUCGUGAGGCAGUAGAGAGAAGGGGACUGCUUGAGUCGGACAACACACUGGAUGAGUGUCUCACUGAACGUGCUCUUUUCCAGAUGCCAUCGGCGCUGCGACGACUUUUUGCCACAAUACUGGUGUACUGUGAGCCAAGCGAUGUGGCAGUACUCUGGCGAAAACACCUAGAUGCUAUGUCAGAGGACUAUCAACGUAGGAGUGAGAGCAAAACUCAUGUUGAGCAGAUGGUAUUGAUUGACAUUAGGAACAUGCUGCAGUCAAUGGGAAAGGACAUAAAGACAUUCCCACUUCCUCCUAUCAUUGACACGUAUGACGAUGCUAUAGGUACUGUUAGGGAGGUUUACGAGGAGGAAAGUAUCGAACCGACAGUGGCAGAUGUGGCUCUCAAAGAGACUCUUAACGAGGAACAGAGAGCCGCCUAUGAUAAGAUUAUGUCUGCUGUUGACACUGAUCAGGGCGGAUUGUUCUUUGUGGAUGGACCUGGUGGCACUGGAAAGACUUAUCUAUACAGAGUGUUGCUCGCGACGCUACGCAGCCAGAACAAGAUUGCGGUGGCAACAGCUACAUCUGGCGUUGCGGCUUCCAUAAUGCCUGGAGGAAGAACUGCCCAUUCACGCUUCAAGAUACCUCUUACUAUUGAUGAUGGCGCUGUAUGUAGCUUCACGAAGCAGAGUGGAACCGCAGAGUUGCUACGGAAAGCAUCUCUCAUUAUCUGGGACGAGGCUUCUAUGACUAAGAGACAAGCUGUGGAGGCACUAGACAAUAGCAUGCGCGAUAUAAUGGGUCGGCCUGGAUUGCCAUUCGGUGGUAAAACCAUUGUCUUCGGUGGGGAUUUCAGACAAGUCUUGCCCGUUGUUCGUAAAGGUUCAAGGGCUCAAGUAGUCGCUUCUUCUCUACGGAUGUCUUACCUAUGGGAGUCCAUGUCCCACUUAAAGCUUGUUAGCAAUAUGAGGGCAAAAAACGACCCUUGGUUUGCAGAGUUUUUGCUACGCAUAGGUGGUGGAACUGAGGUCACGAAUAGAGAUGGUGACAUCCGUCUUCCUGGCGAGGUAUGUGUGCCUUAUAGUGGGAGUGACAGUGAUCUUGACAAUCUAAUAGACUACGUGUUCCCAAAUCUCAAUGAAAAUAUAUCAGAUUCCACCUACAUUACUUCACGAGUGAUACUAUCAACGCGAAACGAUUGGGUGGAUAUGAUAAAUGUUAAGAUGAUAGAUCGUUUUCAAGGUGCACAUACGGUGUACCAUAGUUUCGAUAGCGCCAUGGAUGAUCCCCAUAACUAUUACCCACCUGAGUUCCUAAACACACUAACACCAAAUGGGCUGCCCCCGCAUGUUUUGAAGCUCAAGAUUGGAUGCCCUGUUAUAUUGCUUCGGAAUAUAGACCCUGCGAAUGGACUUUGCAACGGUACCAGGCUGGUGGUUCGUGGUUUCCAAAGAAAUAGCAUUGACGCAGAAAUUGUACUGGGUCAGCAUGCUGGAAAACGGAUUUUCCUGCCACGUAUACCUCUUUGUCCCUCUGAUGAUGAGAUGUUCCCUUUCCAGUUCAAAAGGAAGCAGUUUCCUAUACGUCUUAGUUUUGCAAUGACUGUUAACAAAGCACAGGGUCAGACUAUUCCCAAUGUUGGUGUGUACUUGCCCGAAUCAGUGUUCUCUCAUGGCCAAUUAUAUGUUGCUCUAUCUAGAGCGACAGCCCGAUCGAACAUAAAGAUCCUUGUCAUCCCAGCCGUCGAUGGAAAUAAGAGGUCGAGGAAGGGUGUACGAAAGAACCCCACAGUAGAUUGUGGGACAUACACCAAGAACAUCGUCUACAAGGAGGUCCUAACAAACUAGCGGAAAUCUUCACAAACAACAGAAGAGUGAUUUACACAAACAACAACACAACCCAGACCCACAUUAGAGAUUUCUAGCAUGGCUGACACAAGUAACCAUGGAUCCCUCAUUGAUGAAUGGUUGCCGACCCUACACCAAGCCCAAAGAACUCUCAUGUCAUGCUGAAUGAAAAAUUCAGCUCUCGCUCAAUAUCUGGUCUUUUUAGUGAACAUGGAACCAAUAAGCCCAACAAUCAAUCUGAAAAAGCAGAGAAGUUGUGAAUUCUGCUUUUCUUUACAAUAAAAUGGGGAUAUAACAGCUUUAAGCACAAUGAGAAAUGAGUCCAUCAUUAGUGAGAUCCAAGCCCAGCUAAAGCACAAGAAUGUCACAGUGGAUGUCAAAGCAAAUUCAGACCCUCAUAUUAGUCCUAUUCAGCUCUCAACUACAGUCACAGUCGAGGAACUUGGUUUACCAGGCUUGAAAAACAUAAUGGCCAUUUCUUAUCCACAUCAAGCAUUUGGGAGGGAGGCUUCCACAUGAAUGGGGUUGAAGGGACAUUUCGAGGCAAGCCUUGUGAGGUCGCUUCAAACCCGAGACUUUAGUGGACAACUCUCCUCACCGCAUGAGUGAUUCGAUCACUAACACUCCUUCAGGAACGACAAAGGGGACAACCUCACUGCGUCCUACCUCCUACCAUUUGGCGAACACAGAGAAGGACACAACUGUUGGUAUGGAGGUGACCCGCAACUUCUCAACCAAGGCGAGCAUAGUCACCUUUGGGACAUGUCAUGCACUAGACCCUACCACCACUAUGAAGGCGUGCAACUAAUUUUUAGAAAAGUGUAUUGAUUCAAAGUAUGUUUAGCUGUAGUUUAUAUCUUUCUACCUCCUCUUGUAGAUAGAGUUAGAUUGCAUCACAUAUCUUCUCUUGUAUUCCCAAAUGCAAAGUAAUAUUGGUUCCAUCUCUAUUGGGUAAUGGAUA